GCCCUGGCUCUGGAGGAGAAUGCCACCUCCCAGAAGGUGCUGGAUAUCUUUGAACAGCGGCUGGAGCAGGUUGAAAGUGGCCUCCAUCGGGCCCUGCGGCUACAGCGCUUCUUCCAGCAGGCACAUGAAUGGGUGGAUGAGGGCUUUGCUCGGCUGGCAGGAGCUGGGCCAGGUCGGGAGGCUGUGCUGGCUGCACUGGCCCUGCGGCGGGCCCCAGAGCCCAGUGCCGGCACCUUCCAGGAGAUGCGGGCCCUGGCCCUGGACCUGGGCAGCCCAGCAGCCCUGCGAGAAUGGGGCCGCUGCCGGGCCCGCUGCCAAGAACUGGAGAGGAGGAUUCAGCAACACCUGGGAGAGGAGGCGAGCCCACGGGGCUACCGACGACGGCGGGCAGACAGUGCCAGUAGUGGAGGGGCCCAGUGGGGGCCCCACAGCCCCUCGCCCAGCCUCAGCUCCUUGCUGCUCCCCAGCAGCCCUGGGCCACGGCCAGCCCCAUCCCAUUGCUCCCUGGCCCCAUGUGGAGAGGACUGUGAGGAAGAGGGCCCUGAGCUGGCUGCAGAAGCAGAGGGCAGGCCCCCCAGAGCUGUGCUGAUCCGAGGCCUGGAGGUUACCAGCACUGAGGUGGUGGACAGGACGUGCUCACCACGGGAACACGUGCUGCUGGGCCGGGCUGGGGGGCCAGAUGGACCCUGGGGAGUAGGCACCCCCCGGAUGGAGCGCAAGCGAAGCAUCAGUGCCCAGCAGCGUCUGGUGUCUGAGCUGAUUGCCUGUGAACAAGAUUAUGUGGCCACCUUGAGUGAGCCAGUGCCACCCCCUGGGCCUGAGCUGACUCCUGAACUUCGGGGCACCUGGGCUGCUGCCCUGAGUGCCCGAGAAAGGCUUCGCAGCUUCCACCGGACACACUUUCUGCGGGAGCUUCAGGGCUGCGCCACCCACCCCCUACGCAUUGGGGCCUGCUUCCUUCGCCACGGGGACCAGUUCAGCCUUUAUGCACAGUAUGUGAAGCACCGACACAAACUGGAGAAUGGUCUGGCUGCGCUCAGUCCCUCAAGCAAGGGCUCCACGGAGGCUGGCCCUUACCUGCCCCGAGCCCUGCAGCAGCCUCUGGAACAGCUGGCUCGGUAUGGGCGGCUCCUGGAGGAGCUCCUGAGGGAAGCUGGGCCUGAGCUCAGUUCUGAGCGCCAGGCCCUUGGGGCUGCUGUACAGCUGCUCCAGGAACAAGAGGCCCGUGGCAGAGACCUGCUGGCCGUGGAGGCGGUGCGUGGCUGUGAGAUAGAUCUGAAGGAGCAGGGACAGCUCUUGCAUCGAGACUCCUUCACUGUCAUCUGUGGCCGAAAGAAGUGCCUUCGCCAUGUCUUUCUCUUUGAGCAUCUCCUCCUGUUCAGCAAGCUCAAGGGCCCUGAAGGGGGGUCAGAGAUGUUUGUUUACAAGCAGGCCUUUAAGACUGCUGACAUGGGGCUGACAGAAAACAUUGGGGACAGCGGACUCUGCUUUGAGUUGUGGUUUAGGCGGCGGCGUGCACGAGAGGCAUACACUCUGCAGGCAACCUCACCAGAGAUCAAACUCAAGUGGACAAGUUCUAUUGCCCAGCUGCUGUGGAGACAGGCAGCCCACAACAAGGAGCUCCGAGUGCAGCAGAUGGUGUCCAUGGGCAUUGGGAAUAAACCCUUCCUGGACAUCAAAGCCCUUGGGGAGCGGACGCUGAGUGCCCUGCUCACUGGAAGAGGUGAGGGCCAGGGUGCUGGGGGGUGGCCCCCAGGAGUGAAGACCUUGACAAUGAGGAUACAAAGGGGAGGUGUGGUGGAAAGUCAGGAAAAGCAUCUCGUCCCCAAAUCAGUGGGACUGGCUGGGAGGCCCUCUGUGAGACUGAGGGUCAUUCCAAGGAGCCAAGAGGGCUUUCCCACACCAGCACCCCACCCCCCACUCCCCACUCUCUGCAGCCGCCCGCACCCGGGCCUCCGUGGCCGUGUCAUCCUUUGAGCAUGCCGGCCCCUCCCUUCCCGGCCUUUCGCCGGGAGCCUGCUCCCUGCCUGCCCGCGUCGAGGAGGAGGCCUGGGAUCUGGACGUCAAGCAAAUUUCCCUGGCCCCAGAAACACUUGACUCUUCUGGAGAUGUGUCCCCAGGACCAAGAAACAGCCCCAGCCUGCAAACCCCCCACCCUGGGAGCAGCACUCCCACCCUGGCCAGUCGAGGGAUCUUAGGGCUAUCCCGACAGAGUCAUGCUCGAGCCCUGAGUGACCCCACCACGCCUCUGUGACCGGGGUGAGUCAGCAUCCCCAAUUUCUACCACAUCCAACACUCCUUCCAUCUUGCAUGUACCUUCCUUCCUGUCCCCGGCUUCCUGGGAGUCAGCUUCUUCCCUCUCCCAACUCAUCUCCCUCUUCUCUCCUGGCUUCUAGAGAAGACCCAGAACUUGCGUGCAGCUUCUCCUCUCAGCACACUUUGGGCUGGGAUGGCAGUGGGGCAUAAUGGAGCACUGGGCGAUCACUGAAUUUCUUCCCUCUGCUUCCUGGACACAGAGGAGGUCUAACGACCAGAGUAUUGCCCUGCCACCACUAUCUCUAGUCUCCCUAGCUUGGUGCCUUCUCCUUCAGGAGCCAGAGCAGCUACACUGCUUGCCUUCAUACCCUGGAGGUGGGGACGUUAUCCCUCUUCCGGUGCUUUCCCAUCCUGGGCCACUGUAUCCAGGACAUCACUCCCAUGCCAGCCCUCCCUGGCAGCCCAUGUUCUCCUCUUUUCUCACCCCCUGACUUUCCCUGAGAAGAAUCAUCUCUGCCAGGUCAACUGGAGUUCCUGGUGACUCCAUUCUGAGGUAUCACAAGAAAUGAAGCUAUGCAAACAAUAAUAGGAGGGUGCAACAGGGGAACUGUAGACUUUAUAUAUGUAAUUACUGUUAUUAUAAUACUAUUGUUAUAUUAAACAUAUUUACUCACA
rnacentral:sRNA from 1 species